rnacentral:rRNA from 1 species
UACAGAGGUCUCAAGCGUUGUUCGGAUUCAUUGGGCGUAAAGGGUGUGUAGGUGGCGCGCUAAGUCGGGUGUGAAAUUUCGGAGCUUAACUCCGAAACUGCAUUCGAUACUGGCGUGCUUGAGGACUGGAGAGGAGACUGGAAUUCAUGGUGUAGCAGUGAAAUGCGUAGAGAUCAUGAGGAAGACCAGUGGCGAAGGCAGCUUGCUGGGACGGUACUGACGCUGAGACGCGAAAGCGUGGGGAGCAAACAGG